rnacentral:tRNA from 1 species
GGUAAGAUGGCCGAAUUAGGUGCCGAGUUGUAGCCUCGGUUAUAAAGGUCAGUUCCUUUUCUUACCA